rnacentral:rRNA from 1 species
GACGAACGCUGGCGGCGUGCUUAACACAUGCAAGUCGAACGGUAAGGCCCUUCGGGGUACACGAGUGGCGAACGGGUGAGUAACACGUGGGUGAUCUGCCCUGCACUUCGGGAUAAGCCUGGGAAACUGGAUCUAAUACCGGAUAGGACCAUUGCCUGCAUGGGUGGUGGUGGAAAGCUUUUGCGGUGUGGGAUGGGCCCGCGGCCUAUCAGCUUGUUGGGGGGGUGAUGGCCUACCAAGGCGACGACGGGUAGCCGGCCUGAGAGGGUGACCGGCCACACUGGGACUGAGAUACGGCCCAGACUCCUACGGGAGGCAGCAGUGGGGAAUAUUGCACAAUGGGCGCAAGCCUGAUGCAGCGACGCCGCGUGAGGGAUGACGGCCUUCGGGUUGUAAACCUCUUUCAGCACCGACGAAGCGCAAGUGACGGUAGGUGCAGAAGAAGGACCGGCCAACUACGUGCCAGCAGCCGCCGUAA